rnacentral:tRNA from 1 species
CACCGGCAGCGGGGUGAGCACGCCCGGCUCGCCCGCGGCGAGCUGCAGCCGCCCCGGUUCGAGCGCGAGACCGGUGGC